GACGUCGAAUAUCGACGCCAUAAACACCAAAGUUGACCGUGUUUAUGACGUCGAAUAUCGACGUCAUAAACACCAAAGUUGACGUGUUUAUGAAUAUCGACGUCAUAAACACCAAAGUUGAUCGUGUUUAUGACGUCGAAUAUCGACGUCAUAAACACCAAAGUUGAUCGUGUUUAUGACGUCGAAUAUCGACGUC